rnacentral:lncRNA from 1 species
GGUGGGAGCUGAUGAUGGAAUCCUAAAGAUCAUGCAUGGUAGUAGGGUUGUGAUGAAGGGCAAAAAGUAUGGAGGACAUUACCUCUUGACAGAAAGCUCAGCACGAGGUGGAGCUUCAAGAGUCAAUGGGAGCCCAGUGCAAGGUGGAGCUCUAGGAGCAGAUGGAUUGGGUAUGAGAUGAAGACUCAAAGAAUGACAGAUGAUGUCAUAAGGUGAAGUUUCUAUUGUCACAGAAGGCUAUCUCGAGCAGGUCUCAGGUCAAAAGGAUCACAUCAUAUGAUAGAGAUGGGAUCGAGCGGCUUGACUCGACUCCCAUAUUUGUCCAUCCAUGAGUAGUGAGAUAUUUGUCUCAGGAUAUGGGGG